rnacentral:lncRNA from 1 species
AAUCCAGACAGUAAGGUUUACUAUUGAUUAUGUUAUUGCUUGGCCUCGAUCACAUGUAAGUCCACUUCCAUACAAGCAUCGGGUAUGCUCCAAUGUCCAUUAAGGUAUAUAAUUUAUGAAGAAUCUUGUAAAUUUUUAGGUCAAAAAUACCCGAGCCAAUCGCUGCAACAACACUACAAAAACAUUCCUACUCCAACACAACCAGAAAACACUGGUAUGGUACAUCUCUUACAAUUCAUCAAAGAACGUUUCAUUGUGCACUAGUCCAAAAGCUUAUGUUCAUUGUAAACUUUUCUUUGUUUCCUUUCUUUUCAGGAAAGCUAAGGCUUUAGAGGACUGCAUUGCAGGAUCCAGGAGCAGCUGCAGAUGGAUUAAUUUUUAAAUGAACAAAUAUAACGAAUUAUGUAUAGAUUUUAGCUUCAUAGGAAAACUUGGUUCUAGUUUGUAGGAUAUUUUCUUAUUUAUUUGUAUCUUUCAUAUGAAUGUCUGAUUUGAUUCAGUUGUGAACUCCGCACAAUUUUAAUACAUGUAUUUGUU